GUUGUGGGCUGUCGAGGCAGCAGUGCGGAGUCGGUGCCUUGCGGUGCGAAUGGCCCCACAAAGAGAAAACACGUGGUUCCUCCCGACAGGAAGCACCAAGCUGUUGUAGCUCCUGUGCGAUGGGAUCAUACACU